GAACUGGAACGACUCACCCAGCAUAUGAUACCAGAAGAUUCCAAGGCUAUGUGUGAGGGUGACAGCCACACAUCACACAGGGACCACCUGUCAGGAGCAACUGUAGCUGUAGCUGUCCUCAUCCCGGUCAUCCUGGCCAUGUUCCUGGCCAUCCUGGCAUACAGGUUUAUGCAAGAGAGGAAGCGCCAAGCUUUGUACCGAUACCGACCAGUCAACGAACACUUGUGACUAGCGCCGUGUCGGAUCUGCCGGUUCAGAAACAUUCCGCUUUUGAUCAAGUCUUGUUUUCUCAAAGUAGCAACAUGUUUUCCUCGGAAGAAAUGCAAAUGAUCCAAUGAUCCAUUUUUCAUAUACUAGAUACAGUCUUUUUAAAAAUA